CUGGCAUGCUCCAGGACCUGGCUUUCCUGGGGAGGAAGACACCAGGCUUCCCUGCCUCAUACCUUCAUUUCAGCUCUGCAAGGUCUGCUGGGGUAGAGGUCUUUUCUCAUGAACUUCAGCUCUGGGAAACUGGUAACAGCUUUAACAUCAAAGGGCACCCUUUGCACCCUAGCCAUCCUGAGCAGAUGGAGUCUUUCUCCAGUUCCCGAGAAGUGGAAGGAGAGACCUUCUGAGGAUACCCUUUCCCCAAGCUCAGAGGAGCGAGAGAAAGGCUGUGAUGCCAACCAAGGACCGAAAGCAAUUUCCAGCUGGAAACAUAGGGGAUCCCUAAGACCCCUUAGACCGAAACUAAAUAUCCCUUUUACAGCUCAGAGCUUUUGCUGUGGGUUUCAUACCGAACCAUGGGGUGGCAGUGCUGUCCGACCGUCAAGACUGACAAGGUCUCUUCUGUGUGUGUACUCAGUCAGCACCCUGCUGCCUGG